AGAGUUUGAUCCUGGCUCAGGACGAACGCUGGCGGCGUGCCUAAUACAUGCAAGUCGAGCGCAGGAAACCAGAUGAUCCCUUCGGGGUGAUUCUGGCGGAAUGAGCGGCGGACGGGUGAGUAACACGUGGGCAACCUGCCUGUAAGACUGGGAUAACUUCGGGAAACCGGAGCUAAUACCGGAUAGUAUUUCCUUUCUCCUGAUUGGAAAUGGAAAGACGGUUUCGGCUGUCACUUACAGAUGGGCCCGCGGUGCAUUAGCUAGUUGGUGGGGUAAUGGCCCACCAAGGCGACGAUGCAUAGCCGACCUGAGAGGGUGAUCGGCCACACUGGGACUGAGACACGGCCCAGACUCCUACGGGAGGCAGCAGUAGGGAAUCUUCCGCAAUGGACGAAAGUCUGACGGAGCAACGCCGCGUGAGCGAUGAAGGCCUUCGGGUCGUAAAGCUCUGUUGUUAGGGAAGAACAAGUACGAGAGUAACUGCUCGUACCUUGACGGUACCUAACCAGAAAGCCCCGGCUAACUACGUGCCAGCAGCCGCGGUAAUACGUAGGGGGCAAGCGUUGUCCGGAAUUAUUGGGCGUAAAGGGCUCGUAGGCGGUUUCUUAAGUCUGAUGUGAAAGCCCACAGCUCAACUGUGGAGGGUCAUUGGAAACUGGGGAACUUGAGUGCAGAAGAGGAGAGUGGAAUUCCACGUGUAGCGGUGAAAUGCGUAGAUAUGUGGAGGAACACCAGUGGCGAAGGCGACUCUCUGGUCUGUAACUGACGCUGAGGAGCGAAAGCGUGGGGAUCAAACAGGAUUAGAUACCCUGGUAGUCCACGCCCUAAACGAUGAAUGCUCGGCGUUUGGGAGUUUCCGCCCCUGACUGAUCAAAUUCAUUAAUUAUCCCAUCUGGCAGGUACGACCGGCCGGUUGAAACUCACUCGAAUUGGUUGAGGGCCGCCCAAGCGGUGGAGGAAGUGGGUGAAUUCAAUGAUACCCGCGGAAACAUACCUAGCCUAUAAUGACAUCCGAUUGCGGGUGAAAACACAAUUUGUUCCCUUCCGCUGCCGGUUGGGUGGUGGAGGGUGGUUGUCGGCUCGUGCCGUGAGGAGAUGGGGUAAUUCCUCCCGCGACGACAGCCCCCAUUGAUACUUGCUGUCAGGUAUCGCUGGGAACUCUUAUGAUGAUUGCCUCUGAAGACGCGAAGGAAGGUGGGAAUGACGUCAAAUCUUCAUGCCUCUUAUGACCUGGGUUACACACUUGCUACAAUGGAUGGAACAAAAGGUAGCACAGUCUCGAGGCUCACUAAAUCCCAUAACAUUAUUCUCAGUUCGAAUUGCAGGCUGCACCUCGCCUGCUUGAACUCGGAUUCGCUAGUAAUCGCGGAUCAGCAUGCCGCGGUGAAUACGUUCCC
rnacentral:rRNA from 1 species